UAAUGUCUUUAGCAUACAACUGAGCCAAGCAGUCACGGAUCCUGCCAUGCUUUUGAAGCAAUGAUCUUCGUACAGAUUGAGUAGGAUGAGCUGUUAGGACCAAAUCCACAGUCUGAUUCUUGAUAGCAUCAAAAACUUCUUGGGGGGACUUCUUUAAGUCCCCCACCAGUUUCUUGAAAGUUUCUUCAAUAUCUGACUCAGUUGUAGCAUUGGCCUCAUCAGCA
rnacentral:misc_RNA from 1 species